UACGUAGGGUGCGAGCGUUAAUCGGAAUUACUGGGCGUAAAGCGUGCACAGGCGGUUGUGUAAGACAGGUGUGAAAUCCCCGGGCUUAACCUGGGAACUGCGCUUGUGACUGCACAACUAGAGUACGGCAGAGGGGGGUGGAAUUCCACGUGUAGCAGUGAAAUGCGUAGAUAUGUGGAGGAACACCGAUGGCGAAGGCAGCCCCCUGGGCCUGUACUGACGCUCAUGCACGAAAGCGUGGGGAGCAAACAGG
rnacentral:rRNA from 1 species